AGCUAGGAGCCAUGCGAACAGGCGCCGCCCAACCCCGCCAGGUCCGGAAGGAAGCAACGGUCAGCGGAGGCCUGUUGCGCCGUGGUCCAUCCUAGGUACG
rnacentral:SRP_RNA from 1 species